rnacentral:lncRNA from 1 species
AUGAAUUCAGAAGGCAGAUGGAGAAUUUAUUUCACCAAACAUCAAGAAGAAACAAAAAAAGACUUUGAAAAGUUGUCAGAAAAUAUAUCCAAGUUGGUUAUGGUUUUUUAUGGAAGCAACGGCAAGUCAAAUCCGGUUUCCAUGGAAAACAAAGUGGAACAUCAGGCUAAGAACCAAAUAACAUAUGAUAUAUAUUUACCAUCUGAUUUGGGGAUGGUUUAUAAAGUGAGACUUGGACUCCAGAGUUUGGAAAACAGCAUAUCACAGUUGUAUCUUCAUCACUUUAAAAUGCAGAACACAUCCACCCUGGAUACCUUUAGCCUGACUAUAAAUAAAACACUUCCUCUUUCUCUUAAUGGAGACAGAUGGAUUGAAUUCCCUGUAGAGUGGCCAUUAAAAGAAACACUUUCUGUGGCUAAAUAUCAUCUAACAGUAUUUUCUAGAAAUAUUUUGACUGUGAGAAAUGUCGUGCGUAUGACUGCGUGUAUAUAUGGUACAUACGGAGACACAGGGGACAGAUCCCUUCUCUGGUCAUUGGAGAAUGUCCAGCAGGAAGAGAGCCAUGAGGUACUCUGUAUUUAA